rnacentral:snRNA from 1 species
AAGUGUAGUAUCUGUUCUUUUCAGUGUAACAACUGAAAUGACCUAGGCUCAUACACAUUUUUUGGCAGGACGGGAAGAGGAGACGUCGCGACCCUCGCAGAGUCGUUCUUGACUUGGUCGCUUGAUGUUUCUUCUUCCCGUUC